rnacentral:rRNA from 1 species
CGGACGGGUGAGUAAUGUCUGGGAAACUGCCCGAUGGAGGGGGAUAACUACUGGAAACGGUAGCUAAUACCGCAUAAUGUCUGCGGACCAAAGCGGGGGACCUCCGGGCCUCGCGCCAUCAGAUGAACCCAUAUGGGAUUAGCUAGUAGGUAAGGUAACGGCUUACCUAGGCGACGAUCCCUAGCUGGUCUGAGAGGAUGAUCAGCCACACUGGGACUGAGACACGGCCCAG